rnacentral:rRNA from 1 species
GGAUUAGAUACCCUGGUAGUCCGCACCGUAAACGAUGGACACUUGGUGUUGGAGGUAUUGACCCCUUCAGUGCCGAAGCUAACGCGUUAAGUGUCCCGCCUGGGAAGUACGGUCGCAAGAUUAAGACUCAAAGAAAUUGACGGGGGCCCGCACAAGCGGUGGAGCAUGUGGUUUAAUUCGAUGCAACGCGAAAAACCUUACCUGGGCUCGAAAUGUUAUGGAAUAAGGUAGAGAUAUCUUAGUUCUUCGGAACUGUAAUAUAGGUGCUGCAUGGCUGUCGUCAGCUCGUGCCG